UACAGAGGCCACGAGCGUUAGGCGGAAUCACUGGGCUUAAAGCGUGUGUAGGUGGAUGACUAAGUACCUUGUGAAAUCCCACGGCUCAACCGUGGAACUGCUUGGUAUACUGGUUGUCUUGAGGCACUCAGGGGCGAGCGGAACAGAUGGUGGAGCGGUGAAAUGCGUAGAUAUCAUCUGGAACGCCAAUGGUGAAGACAGCUCGCUGGGGUGUACUGACACUGAGACACGAAAGCCAGGGGAGCAAACGGG
rnacentral:rRNA from 1 species